CGGGAAGUAGCUCAGCUUGGUAGAGCACAUGGUUUGGGACCAUGGGGGUUCAGGUUCGAAUCCUGUCUUCUCAACCA
rnacentral:tRNA from 1 species